CUCCAUACCACCCUGAACACACCCGAUCUCCUCUGAUCUAGGAAGCUAAGCAGGGUCAGGCAUGGUUAGAACUUGGAUGAGAGACCUCUCUCUUUCUAACCAGAGC
ensembl:rRNA 5S_rRNA 5S ribosomal RNA